AUUGAACGCUGGCGGCAGGCUUAACACAUGCAAGUAGAACGAGUGGCGGACGGGUGAGUAAUGCUUGGGAAUCUAGCUUAUGGAGGGGGAUAACUACGGGAAACUGUAGCUAAUACCGAGUACCAUAGGAUGAGCCCAGGUGGGAUGAGGUAGUGGGGGAGGAAAAGGCACACAAAGACGACGAUCUCGAGCGGGUCUGAGAGGAUGACCAUCCACACUCGUACUGAGACACGGCCCAGACUCCUGAGGGAGGCAGCCGUGGGGAAGAUUGCUCAAUGGGGGCAACCUGCUGCAGCCAUGCCGAGUGAUUGAAGAAGGCUGUCGGGUUUUAAAGUUCUUUCGGUAGCGAGGCGUUAACUACAGAAGAAGCACCGGCUAACUCCGUGCCAGCCGCCGCGGUAAUAC
rnacentral:rRNA from 1 species